rnacentral:rRNA from 1 species
UAGUUGCGGCGGCUACACAUGCAGUCGAGCGGUAGCACAGAGAGCUUGCUCUCGGGUGACGAGCGGCGGACGGGUGAGUAAUGUCUGGGAAACUGCCUGAUGGAGGGGGAUAACUACUGGAAACGGUAGCUAAUACCGCAUAACGUCGCAAGACCAAAGUGGGGGACCUUCGGGCCUCAUGCCAUCAGAUGUGCCCAGAUGGGAUUAGCUAGUAGGUGGGGUAACGGCUCACCUAGGCGACGAUCCCUAGCUGGUCUGAGAGGAUGACCAGCCACACUGGAACUGAGACACGGUCCAGACUCCUACGGGAGGCAGCAGUGGGGAAUAUUGCACAAUGGGCGCAAGCCUGAUGCAGCCAUGCCGCGUGUGUGAAGAAGGCCUUCGGGUUGUAAAGCACUUUCAGCGGGGAGGAAGGCGAUAAGGUUAAUAACCUUGUCGAUUGACGUUACCCGCAGAAGUACUACCGGCUAAC